rnacentral:misc_RNA from 1 species
UUGGUUAGUUUAUUAUAAUAAUGAUAAAGAUUAUGAUUAUUAGCAGAUGAUUGUGUUGUGCUGCAGCCUGAGAAUAUGAUUUUAUCAGAUAUCAAAAUGCCACCAGUUUUCAAGAAAAGGGGAAAACCAAAAGAACGAGAUGUGACUGUAGUUGGACUUCCAGCAAAAAAAAAAGUAAAGAUUGAUAAAGACAAGAAACGUCUUAAACCAUUUAGUUGUCAACACAUUACUGUAAAGGAAAGAGUUAUUUUAAAUUGGUU